rnacentral:rRNA from 1 species
GACGAACGCUGGCGGCGUGCUUAACACAUGCAAGUCGAGCGGUAAGGCCCUUUCGGGGGUACACGAGCGGCGAACGGGUGAGUAACACGUGGGUGACCUGCCCUCAGCUCUGGGAUAAGCCUGGGAAACCGGGUCUAAUACUGGAUAUGACUCCAUGACGCAUGUUGUGGGGUGGAAAGCCUUGUGCGGCUGAGGAUGGGCCCGCGGCCUAUCAGCUUGUUGGUGGGGUGANGGCCUACCAAGGCGACGACGGGUAGCCGGCCUGAGAGGGCGACCGGCCACACUGGGACUGAGACACGGCCCAGACUCCUACGGGAGGCAGCAGUGGGGAAUCCUGGACAAUGGGCGCAAGCCUGAUCCAGCCAUGCCGCGUGGGUGAAGAAGGCCUGGUGUAAG